CUAGCGUUGCUCGGAAUCACUGGGCGUAAAGCGCACGUAGGCGGAUUCUUAAGUCAGGGGUGAAAUCCUGGAGCUCAACUCCAGAACUGCCUUUGAUACUGAAGAUCUUGAGUUCGGGAGAGGUGAGUGGAACUGCGAGUGUAGAGGUGAAAUUCGUAGAUAUUCGCAAGAACACCAGUGGCGAAGGCGGCUCACUGGCCCGAUACUGACGCUGAUGCACGAAAGCGUGGGGAGCAAACAGG
rnacentral:rRNA from 1 species